AACUUUUAACAACGGAUCUCUUGGUUCUCGCAUCGAUGAAGAACGUAGCAAAGUGCGAUAACUAGUGUGAAUUGCAUAUUCAGUGAAUCAUCGAGUCUUUGAACGCAACUUGCGCUCAUUGGUAUUCCAAUGAGCACGCCUGUUUCAGUAUCAAA
rnacentral:rRNA from 4 species